rnacentral:rRNA from 1 species
GACGAACGCUGGCGGCGUGCUUAACGCAUGCAAGUCGAACGGAAAGGCCCUGCUUUUGUGGGGUGCUCGAGUGGCGAACGGGUGAGUAACACGUGAGUAACCUGCCCUUGACUUUGGGAUAACUUCAGGAAACUGGGGCUAAUACCGGAUAGGAGCUCCUGCUGCAUGGUGGGGGUUGGAAAGUUUCGGCGGUUGGGGAUGGACUCGCGGCUUAUCAGCUUGUUGGUGGGGUAGUGGCUUACCAAGGCUUUGACGGGUAGCCGGCCUGAGAGGGUGACCGGCCACAUUGGGACUGAGAUACGGCCCAGACUCCUACGGGAGGCAGCAGUGGGGAAUAUUGCACAAUGGACGGAAGCCUGAUGCAGCAACGCCGCGUGCGGGAUGACGGCCUUCGGGUUGUAAACCGCUUUCGCCUGUGACGAAGCGUGAGUGACGGUAAUGGGUAAAGAAGCACCGGCUAACUACGUG